GGGCAUAACUAAAAUUCUGGUUAUUACGCUAAAAGCUUGAACUCUUUAACAUUUAAUUACAGCAUCAUUCUUGUCGCGUCAAAAUCCGUUUGUCCCUCAUAUUGGCAAUUUAGGGUUCGCUUCCCUCAUCUGAAAUGGCUGAUUCUCCUCGCAAAAGGUAUUCCCGCUCUCCUUCACCUUGGGAAGAAAAGUCAAGGUCUCGCUCUCGAUCCCCAACUAGAUCACAGUCAAGGCCAAGAGGAAGAUCCAGGUCCAGAAGUCAUGGAAGGGCUGAAGAAACUAAUCCCGGAAACACACUCUAUGUGACUGGAUUAUCUUCAAGGGUCACUCAAAGGGAUCUUGAAGAGCAUUUCUCAAAGGAGGGAAAGGUGAAGUCAGCUUUUCUGGUUGUGGAGCCCCGUUCUCGCAUCUCUCGUGGUUUUGCUUUCAUAACAAUGGAUAGUCUUGAGGAUGCCAAUCGCUGCAUUAAGCACCUUAAUCAGUCCGUCCUUGAAGGCCGGUCCAUAACAGUGGAGAAGUCUCGUAGAAAACGCCCAAGGACUCCAACACCUGGUCAUUAUCUUGGGCUUCAUCAGAGCGGAAGGGGUGAUGGUUAUGAUGGUGAUCGUGGUAGGUAUCGUGGCCGUGGUGACUAUGGGUACCGAAGAUCUCCAAGACGCUCUCCAUAUAGAGGUGGGAGAGAUUAUUCUCCUAGACGCUCACCUUAUGCUGGAAGGUCGAGACGUGCGCGAUCCCGGUCAUAUUCUCCUUAUGAAAGGAACUACCCUCGUGGUUAUAGAUAAAGGGGUUUCACAAGGCACAUGCGGUUUCCUCCUCAGCAAUGAAAACUGCUUGUAAGGAUCUAUAAGUUUGAUGUGGACUAGUCUUGAUGGUGUGUAAGGUGUUAAAGAGUACUGGUUAAUGAAUGUAUGUCUGGUGUAUACCUUGAAUGUGGAUAAUCUGUAAGCUUGAUGAUGUAUGUAUUCUCUUUCGUUGCUUGUCAUUUUGUUGUCUUCAUGGACCGUGACAUCGUUUACGAUAUCUGUUGGUUCAUUCUUCCAUGUUGUUUAGCAACUUUCUGGCUUGUGGCUUUUUCUGUUACUGUUAUUGGUCAAGAUCCUCUCUUUUCUU